rnacentral:tRNA from 1 species
GGAAAUGUGAGAGAGCUGGUGCUUUCAACGGUCUUCAAAACCGCCUUAGCGGCUCAUGCCGCCGAUAGGUUCGAUUCCUAUACAUUUCCGCCA